GUGGACAAUAUUUAAAGAUGGAAGGUAACAUCCAGGAAGAGGUCCGGGGGUGUUGCUUUAGAAGGGAAUCAAGGUGCUUUCUGUUCCUGCAGCUACUUAUAAUAGUGGGAAGGACCAAGCAAAGAGACCAAGGCUGCCUCUCUGCCCAUUUACUUGGAAGUAAGUCCCACUGAAUUCAGUUAAUUUUACUUCGGAGUAAACUUGCACUUUUGGGAAUACAGUACUGCAAUCCCCAGGCACACUUAAUUGGGAGUAAACCCAACCGAAGCCUACGUGGGAAUUUGGCGUAUACUCGCUUCCGAUGGGGCUGGAAGUCUCCGGAGGUUUUGCUUCCGAGUAAACAUGCAACAGGCUCGGUUUACAGAGUUUGAAAAUGCCACUGAUUUCACGCGCUUUACCUCUCUCCCAUUUCAAAUCGAAGCGAUUGCCAGGAAGCUUAAAAGUGCGGGAUCGUGCCCCUUUUCAGAGGAGUCUUAACUGAGAGGAUGGAGACGAGGAAUCACCUACAGACGGCUGGAUAGAGACAGUCUCCGGCAAGAAAAGAAACCCUGUUGUUUAGAAGCUGGUUUCCUACUUUUAAAACGAUUUCCACUUUCAGCUAAUAAGCUAUAUUAUGCGUUGGAAGAGUUUGGAAGACUCGAGAAGUGCUAACAUGCACUUACCCAAUUUUUGAUUUAAUAUGCCUUGAUGUGCAGGUUUGCACGAAAGCGAGGCAUUACCUUGUAGCCGUUUCUUUUAAUAAUAAUAACAAUCCUCCAACGAAAUACUGUGGAUGCGUUGAACAAACGCACAGAAAAGCAAGAGGAAGAGAAGCAGGACGUUUGGAAAUCGAUUACACUCUUCUUUGUUUUGCUUUAAGGGAAGGGCAGGCAGAAAUUUAGUCUCUGAAUACAUCCUUUUUUUUAACGCAGAAAUGCCUCCGUUCAAAACUGUUUUUUAAUCGGCUUUAGAAUAAACGGGGGCGGCGGCGGGGGUUCGUCUAAAAGGGUCCAUCCGGUGUUAAUUACGGCUUCCAAAAGCCUGGAAACGCCUCCAGAUUCGUUGUAUUCUUCCCCACUUUUCAAAAGCAGGAGCAGGCAGCCUGAAGUGGCUGCGGGAUCGCGGUUGAUUGCUAAACGUUUCUUGCCCGGGCGUUUUGCAAAAGAAGAAGAAAACCCGUUUAUAGGACUAUUUUAAGUUUUUCCAUGCCAGAUCUGAAAACUCACCGCCCUUCUCCCCUCCUCCUCGCACCCCAAGGACAUAAAUGCACACACACACACAAAAAGGUUGGUCCGGGUUUGUUCAAAGGUAGCUACUGUUCCUUUUUUUCCACCAGCUUUCUAACAGCUGAAUUUUUUUUAGUAACAUUGUAGAUGUAGGCUAGAAAGACCCCUCCCCAACCCAAGACUGCAAACCCGAUCUGCUUGUUUUGCCCCCUCCCACCCUGCCCUCCGAAAUAUUAAAGCCUCCGGGUAACUCUCUCCCACCCACAAGCGAACAAAAAUUAACCUAAAUCGGUUUUUUCCUUUUCUUUUUCUUUUUUGCUGCAUUUCUAAAGCCAUAGAUACGUCGUCUGACAAAGGGUUGAUUUUUUUUUAAAGAGAAUUUUAUUUACAGGUACUAGUUCACAAGUUAUUAGGAUGCAGCCAUGAUGCCCUACUCAGAGUAGACCCAUUGACAUCAUUGACCAGCCGUGUCUAUUCAUUUCAUAGGUCCUACUUCUGAGUAGGACUGAGGUCGGCUACAGACCCAUGAUUAAGUUCCCAAUCAUGACAAUUAUGCAGACAAUCGCCUAAUUUAUGGUAAUUAACAGUCAGAGAGAGCAAAUAUUAUAACGAGCUUCAAACGACCCCAACACGACCGCCUCCUUUUUCCUGCUGUUGAUAGAAACGUAAUUAGCCAAAUGCAUCACCCGAAAAAGAGGGUUUUUAUGGGGGCGGGGAGAAACAAUAAUUUCUUAUGGGAUUUGGAAAAUCCACCAGGAUUUUAAUUUUAUUUUUAAUUAAAGUUUUAAGGGACCAGGAAGGAGCAAUGGAAAGAUGGGCUCUAUCCGAGAGACGCUGCUUCCCCCAGCUGGUUUAAAACCGGCAUUUAUUGCAGCAAACAAUAAUAUCUAUUAAAUGAAUACAGAGCGUUUAAGCCAAAGCGCGUUUUGCCUCUCCAAAAAAGCUCCCCUGGCUGCCUAGCCGGAUUUGAAAAAUAAAUGCCGCAGCGGUGAGGCUUGCCUCCGAGUAGACCCGCUGCCGGCCAGCUGCCGAAAACCUGUAACGACGUUCAGUUAUUUCCAGCAAACGGCUGCGGAGAAUGGUUUAAAAUGAAAUAAAAUAAGAAGAGAUGAAGACAUUCUUAAAAGGCGAGGAGCAGUAAGCAUUUGGGUUGGUGAUCCAGCAGAAAGUUCCACUUUACUCCAACCUUACACAGAAAUCUUCAAAGUCUGCCUCUACUCAGAAGUAAACUGAGUUAUGUAGGGGUUUAUGACCCGGAAAGCGGGUACAGGAUCUGGAUGGCAGCCUUAGAGCUCUGAUCUUAGAGGGGCUUACUCAUAAGUAAAUCUGCAUUCCCUUCAGGCAGGGUGGCGCGCGCCUAGGUAUUUCUUUAUAAAAAAAGGGUUGCAGCUUUAAAGGGAAAAGAGAAACCAAACGCACAGAGAAAAUAUAUAUGUUCAAGGAGUCCCAAGAGAGCAAUUACUCCCAGAGAGGCAAGUUUUUAAAACAAGGAGGCGACGGCCCUCUUUUUAAUUCGGAUUAACACCUCCCGCCAACGAGCAGCGACGGAAUUCGCGCUUGACUCCUUUCCAAAGAUCCCGCGCCUCCCUCCUCCCCGAGGCAGUUUGGCGAGCCGUCGACCAACCAGGCAACCUGGCGCGGAAUCGGGGCCCUUUCUCCCCAACUUGCUCCCACCAUCCCCACCUCCCUCCCUUUCUCCUGCUGCCUGUUCUCGCUAGCCCCUGCCGCCUUUGCGCCUGUAUAAUUAUUAGCCAUUAAUUGGGUU